CAGUCGCCACGGUAAUACGAAGGUCCCGAGCGUUGUUCGGAAUCACUGGGCGUAAAGGGAGCGUAGGCGGCGUGGUAAGUCAGAUGUGAAAUCCCGGGGCUCAACCCCGGAACUGCAUCCGAUACUGCCGUGCUAGAGGAUUGGAGAGGUAGCUGGAAUUCUUGGUGUAGCAGUGAAAUGCGUGGAGAUCAAGAGGAACACUCGUGGCGAAAGCGAGCUACUGGACAAUAUCUGACGCUGAGGCUCGAAGGCCAGGGUAGCGAAAGGGAUUAGAUACCCCCGUAGUCCCUGUCUCUUAUAC
rnacentral:rRNA from 1 species